rnacentral:lncRNA from 1 species
CGAUGCCUGCUGUGAAGGGGCGUGGACUUUCAGGCCCCCGAUGCCUGCUGUAAAGGGGCCUGGCUGUCGCUGACAGAGGGUGUGUAGAAGGGUCCGGCUCACCUGAGUGUGGCUGUUGCUGACGUUACACUGGUGGCAUUUCACCUUAAUAAUCACCUCCAGGUGGCUGGGCGCCGUGGCUCAUGCCUGUAAUUCCAGCGGAGCAGGGAGCCCCGCGCCUGGCACACAGGAAGCGGCGCCGUGGCCUCCAGUCUGGAUGGAAGGAG